rnacentral:rRNA from 1 species
AUGAGUGGCGAACGGGUGAGUAACACGUGAGUAACCUGCCCUCUUCUUUGGGAUAACGCCCGGAAACGGGUGCUAAUACUGGAUAUUCACUGAUCUUCGCAUGGGGGUUGGUGGUAAGGUUUUUUCUGGUGGGGGAUGGGCUCGCGGCCUAUCAGCUUGUUGGUGGGGUGAUGGCCUACCAAGGCUUUGACGGGUAGCCGGCCUGAGAGGGUGACCGGUCACAUUGGGACUGAGAUACGGCCCAG